AGAGGAAAAUCCAUUGAAAUUAGUUUAAAAUAUACAUCUGAUCCUAUUUUACAAUAUAUGCAAUUUAAGCAAUUCAGAUCAAUGAAAAAGUCUUAACCAAAAAAAUCACAGUGUUUAUCAAUGUUAAUUACAAAAUGUAUGCUACUUGUUUUGUUUUUAAGAUGUAAUGGCUUGGUUAAGUGUUUUAAAAUCUAUUCUUCUGAAAUCUAACUUGCGUAACAAAAUCAAGUAGCAAUAAUGUAAAGCAUCAGAACUGGCUCUUAAAAGAUUAUUUACAUGUUGAUUAUUUGGGAAAUAACCAACCAAAAAAUAUAAAAAAGUGAUUUUUUUUUUUUACACAGUAUGAAGUCAUUGAAGAGAUUAGACAAUACAAAAAGCAAAAUUCUUUCCUGAAUAAAUGAAUACCUGUGGCACUAAGUUCACUCGCUAAUGGACUGUAACACGGAACUGCCAAACAUGCAUUUAAGUUAUAUUAAUUACACUUUCUGUUUCCAACUUAGGUUGAUCAGCAGCUUUGUUCUGUUAGAAUCCUUCAAAGAGAGAAGCUCAAACAGGAAAAAGAAGGCAUAUAUAAAACAGUAAACACUGACCUCCUGAGGUUCCUACAACAUAAAAAUAUUCAAGUAGAAAAUCUACAUCACUUAGCAGCGGCUAUUUCUGUAGUUGAGCACACUAACAGCAUUUUAGUGUGUAAGGAGCAGAUGAAGUAAGCCGUGCUUUAAGCAUGCCAAGAGGCAGAAACACUGGAAUGUAACAAAGACAAACUCACAAUUUCAUAGACAUUCAGUCAACAUUCAAAACUAUUAAGACUACACCACAAGAAUUAAGUUGCUUUAUAUAUAUCCCAUGAUGUAUUAGGUUUUAUCAGAAUAAAUGCUAAAUCAGAGCUUACCUCAAAAGAUAACUUAAAUGGCUUCUGCAAAUUCCUGUUCUACACUAUGUAUCUGAAAUAUAAAUUAGGAAGAAACAAUAACCUCAAGGGUGAAAAGUACACAAAAAAUCCCAACUCAAAUUCAGAUUGCCAGUCAUAUUUACCUAAUUUUAUUUUCUAUUUUCAAAUUAAAUUUCAUUUAAAUACAAAAAAAGUCAAGUGAUUACAAAACUGGGUGCAUUUUUAAUAGUGUUAUUCAUCUGCCUAACUGGAAACUAAUUUUUAACGAGACAGGUGACAAUAUUGCCUUUAGUCAAUACAGAAUUGUCAACCACAGGUUCAAAUAACUUUACUGAAGAUUGUUAUGUGUUUAAAUUGAAUUUGGUCAUGUCCAUUUAAAAUACUAUCUAUUCCAGAAUAUUAAUCUCUCAUAUUAGAAUUCUAAGUAUUUGAAGCACUACAGAGUAUCACUAUAAUCUAAGAAUAAAACAGCUACUCUACUCAGUUAUUAAAAGACUAACAGGGAGGCAAAUUUUGAGCUCCCAGUGAAGCAACGGUACUAGAAAACAAAAUGCUGUAUACCCUUUGAAUCCAACUUAUAAUUUUAAAAAUAUCAGGCACUAUAAAAUAAUUUAAUUUCAGGCUCUACAGACUGAAAUUUGCAAAGCCAAAGUAGAGGAAAGGUGAAAGAACAUGUUAAAAAACAGAACAAAACGAAACAAAACAAAACACACACACACACAGUAACAAAAACCUUUCUACAUGCUACCAUGCAUUUGAAAUUUUUGAAACAGUAUAAAUUCACACGCACACAGCUCAAACUUCAGUGCAAUGGCUGUAUCAUUCAACACUUUUAGAGAAUAGAACCAUGCAAAGAGGAGCAACUGCUUAUAAAAAUGGUUAUUCAGUAUUUAUUCUGCAAUGCAAACGUGACAAACUAAAAUAUAAAAAGGCUGUUAUGGCUUAACAUUUUUGUUGCAGAUUAAAUAUGCAGCAUUGAAAAAUGGAAAGGCGUGGCUUCAUCUCUGACCAGCAGAGUUAAAAAGAAAAAUCUCUCCAUUUUCCUUCAUCAUCAUGGGAUACACUGUUCAGGCAAUCCAAAUUAAUAAAGACUUGCACUUUCAUAUGAACACAAGAUCAAGUGUACCAGUUAGGUUUUCACAUUCACAGUAUAUAAGAAAAUACACAUGGAAGGAAAAGUAAAGGGUUAACUUAACAAGGAUUUAUUCACAGGAAUACAUGUAAGUAGAGAAAAAUAACAGAAAAGCUAAACAAAUGAAAUGAAGAGGAUC
ensembl:lncRNA